rnacentral:rRNA from 1 species
AGAUUGAACGCUGGCGGCAUGCCUUACACAUGCAAGUCGAACGGCAGCGCGGGGCAACCUGGCGGCGAGUGGCGAACGGGUGAGUAAUAUAUCGGAACGUACCCUGGAGUGGGGGAUAACGUAGCGAAAGUUACGCUAAUACCGCAUACGAUCUAAGGAUGAAAGUGGGGGAUUCGCAAGAACCUCAUGCUCCUGGAGCGGCCGAUAUCUGAUUAGCUUAGGUUGGGUAGGGGUAAACGCCUACAAGGCAUCGAUCAGCAGCUGGUCUGAGACGGACGACCAGCCACACGUGAACUGACGACACGGUCCAGACUCCGUACGGGAGCAGCGAGGUAGGGUAUUUGGACGAAGUGGGACGAAAGCCGU